rnacentral:tRNA from 1 species
AUUGCUUUGGUGGUUGUUUUCAUCGGCGAGGGGGUUGCAAAUGAUGAGAGCACACG